GUCUUCCUGUGGCUCAGUGGUUAGAGCAUCCGACCGAUGUGCGGAAAGUCAUAGGUUCGACUCCCAUCAGGGACU